UGAAUGAAAGCAAAAUAGAAAAACUCAGCAGCCCCCAUCUAACUCUCUCCCUUGCGCGCGUCAUCACACCCACUCUCCCCCAGCAGAUCGCGUCGUCCGCUCGUUGCCGCCGGCAAGCUUCUGUAUUUUCUUCUCCCUUUAUUUCCUUGAUUCUCACGGUUUUCUUCAACUACACACCACCACUGUCGUCCUCAGCUGUUGCCUCCCUUGGAUUCGUGGUUGAGGGUUGAUUUAAAGAUUUUCGAGGUGUUGUUCAAGGUGAUUAAGGUUGUUUUAGCAACUUCUUGGCAAUCCAAAUGCACUCGAAGUUGGUCCAAUGCCGAGGGAUCAUGAAAAAUCCUAAUCCACCUUCGCCCAAUAUAUGGCUUCCUCGUGGUUAGAGCUAUAUGACAAUUAUUAUACUUGGCUCCAAAUAGCCUCUUGGUCUUCAUGGCUGUUAGGCCCUACGCUAGUCAUGUCUACCAGUGAGCUCAUUUGCUCCAACAAUGUCGUGGCUCCUUUUGGCGAUGGAAUCACAAUCAGUGUAUGAAUGAUUCUCUGUGUGUAUUUAUCUUGCCUUCGGGAAGUGGUCAAGAAUUUGAUUUUCUUGCCUCACUUUAUAUUCUUCUCUGUUCUUCAAUUUUGAGUUGUAAUUCCAAUGCUUUGUUCGGUACGAGCUGGCAAAGCUGGUCCUAAUUGGUUGGAUCGUCUGCGUUCCAACAAGGGUUUUCCAAUCACUGAUAAUCUCGAACUUGAUCACUUCCUUACUGACCAAAACCUUGAUAAUCCGUGUUCACUUUCGGACUCUAACCCCCAUUCCACUCGGGCUGACCCCCGCUCUGACGCUAAUCUCAAUUCUCAUCAUCAGGACAAUUCUUCCUCCAACUCUCCCAUUGAAAAUGGAAACCCAUCUUCAUUUGGAAUCAUUACCGACAUCCUCUCUGACCUCUUCAACAUGGGUGGUGCCUCUCGUAAUUCCAAAUGUUUCAGCAAAAAGUACCCUAGGAAACAGUCUAACCCCAAGAUUUACUCCAUUCCUUCUGUUACUAAUGGGGACUAUGCAGAUGCAAAGAAUUUGUGUUGUCUGCAGAAAGAAGAUAACAUCCUCUCAUCAAACUCUGAUAAUAGCUCAAAAGGCUGCAUCGAUUCUGGGUCGGAUAUGGCACAAAAUGUAUGCCUGAAGGUUGUAGAGGAAGAGGUGUGGGAUGAGAAGUGCGAGAAGGAACUUAAAGGAUACUCGAAAAGUGAGGUUACGGUCAUAGAUACUAGCGACGACGUGUGGAAGUCUGACAAACUAAUUUUCAGAAGGAAAAGUGUAUGGAAGGUCAAGGACAAGAAGUGUAAGUUGAGGAGCUAUGGAAGGAAGAAGAGAAAGCAGUCCUCUGAAACGAAUGACCUUCCUGAUAGGAUUGUUUCCGCUAGUAAGAAAACCAAAGUUUGGGGUUCAGAGGAGCGCUUUCAUUUGAACAGACAACAAAUACAUGGAAAGGAAUCUCUCAAACCAUUGAAUAAAGUACAUAAUUUUCAGCAUUGUUAUGGCCCUGAAAGUAGAUUAACUGCACCGGAUAGUAGUAAUGAAAAGAAGGAAAAUGGUUCCACGCUCUCCCAAAAAAAUGGCGGCUAUGACCCCAAAAGAAAAUGAUCACCCAAGGGUUUAGUAAGAGAAGCAUUUUUUUUUGAUAGCGCAUACAACAUUUGCUGGACGGGAAAUUGAAUUAGCUUAUGAUUCAAAGCAUGAACGUCGGUAGUGCUGUAGCAAUGGAGGAUCCAAUGAGAAUACAUAGUUAGAAACUUGUUACCGGUAUCCAUAGGUUGUAUAUGACUUCUUUUUUAAUCACCUUAGAUGCAUCUUGUACAUUUCUUUUGUAACUAUGAGUGACUAGCAUUACUUUCAAACAACUUAUGUUAUUCUUUCAAUUCAUGGUGGUCGAUCAUUUGAAACUUCAA